rnacentral:rRNA from 1 species
CGAAGCCUGAUCAGCAUGCCGCGUGAGUGAUGAAGGCCUUAGGGUUGUAAAGCUCUUUUACCCGGGAUGAUAAUGACAGUACCGGGAGAAUAAGCCCCGGCUAACUCCGUGCCAGCAGCCGCGGUAAUACGGAGGGGGCUAGCGUUGUUCGGAAUUACUGGGCGUAAAGCGCACGUAGGCGGCUUUGUAAGUUAGAGGUGAAAGCCCGGGGCUCAACUCCGGAAUUGCCUUUAAGACUGCAUCGCUAGAAUUGUGGAGAGGUAAGUGGAAUUCCGAGUGUAGAGGUGAAAUUCGUAGAUAUUCGGAAGAACACCAGUGGCGAAGGCGACUUACUGGACACAUAUUGACGCUGAGGUGCGAAAGCGUGGGGAGCAAACAGGAUUAGAUACCCCUGGUAGA